GAGAAAGGCAGCUUUGGAGAUCUGAAUCUUGACACGGCAUGCAACAACAUGCAACAAUCUAAUGGUAAAGCACUUGUCUUUCCUUUUUACCUGGACCUUAAUUUAUGUUUGGCUGCUGAGAAAAUAAGAGGAAGAGAAAAUGAAUUUCAUCUAGAAUCUUAUGUGUGCAUGUCUAUGUUUUAGGCUUUUAGUUUCUGUUUGGUUGCUGAGAAACAAAGAAGCUUUCCAAUCAGAAAAUCUGAAAAGGGAAAGUUUUUAGUCACAUAAACCACCUGAACUAAAUUGUGAACUUAUUUUUUUUUGUUCAUAUUAUUUUUCUGUUAAGAUUUAAUAAGAUCUCUUUCGAAUUUGACCAAGAACACCUGAAAAUUGCAGUAAAAAUCACUGCUCUGUUUAAUUUUGUUUCCAUAUCAAAAGGGUUUCAGAAUUUUCCUUAUUUGGUUUCUAAAAUUGGACAAUGUUUUGACAGGAGGAACACCUGAGAUGUUUCGUCAGAAAGCCCCACCCAUGAACUUCUUUCCAUUUGUGGAAAAUUCUCGGAACAUGCCAACGGCGGUUAGAGACUUCAAAUCCAUGGAUUUGUUUCCUCAACAAGCUGGUUUUGGUCCCUCUGCCCCCACUCCCAGAGAAGAGGUCCCCAUGACGGCUGAUUCUAGGUAAUUUUUUGAAAUUUACGGCGUUGUGGGGUUCCUAUGGUUAAAAAAUCUGUCGAUAUUGGAAGGCGAAAAUCGGAUAUCUGAAUUAUUGUAGCAACGUAAGAUGUUCUUCGGUUUACAUGUGAAAUCUUUGUUAGCUCGUUUUGAUUUGUUCAUGAUGUACCAGUGUGAAGAAAUCUGCCCCUGGAGAGCCUCAGAAGGCACAAAUGACCAUCUUUUAUGGUGGACAAGUAAUCGUGUUCAACGAUUUUCCUGCGGACAAGGCCAAGGAAGUCAUGCUCUUAGCAAGCAAGGAGAGUUCUCAGAGCCACACCGCUCCGGCUUCACCUCCGGCCAAGACUAACAACGCCUUUGCCUCUCAUUUGGGCAAGAGUCCCGUUAAUUCCAGCAGUUCAGUUCCUCCGAGCUCCAACAUGUUUCCUAACUUUGGCAAUCAAGCGAUUCAGGAGGGCGUCAAGCCAUCCCCUCGACCCGUUGUUUGUGGUAAUUUUCUUUCUGUGAUCAUCGGUGUCUCCAUAUCUUAAGUGGUCCUAUCAACAACACGUUUCUUAUCAAUGAUUUCCUUUUCCACUGCAGAUCUUCCGAUUGCAAGGAAAGCUUCGCUUCAUCGAUUCCUCGAGAAGAGAAAGGAUAGGUAGGCAUCCGAAACAGCUAUACCAUAAUUCAUGUUGGAGUAAUAUAUUUUUAAGAUCCAUUUGACUGAUCUGGUUCGCAAUUUCUUUCUGUUUUACAGGCUCAACACCCUAGCACCGUACCAAACGAGCAGCCCUGCAUCCAGCCCGGCGAAGCCAACCGAAAACAAGUCAUGGCUAGGGUUGGCUGCUCAGCAAACCCAAUGAUACGAGAAGCUGUGUUGUUGUAUGCAUCCUUAGGCUUUCUUAUGGUUUAAGCCCCUGCUAUGUUUUUCAAUUUUGGCGGGUUUAAUUUAAGCCCGGAGGUACCAUUAGCUCUAUAUUUGUCUGCCAUAUUAUAGAUCUAACUGUUGGUUAAUCUUAAUUAGUAUAUGUAAGCAUGUAAUUAAGCUUUUGAUGGAAGGAAUUCAAUUAUUAAUGAUAUAAUUUUGAACUUUUUUAAAAUAAAUCUACUUUUUCUUUUGUUGACAACGGUCCGCAUGUGUCAAGCCCGAAAGAACACUACUUCGUUGUUGAAACAAUAGUAGCAACUGCUGAAGUCCUAAUCUUGGGUGGACAUGUGUUCAAUUAUAGUUUUCAAUUUUAAUUAUUUGGGCACUGUGUCUAUCUGUGAUUGGAUUUGCAACAACUAUUGUAAAAUUAUAAUUAUAUCUACAACUAACAAUCGACAAUCGACACGAGUGGAUUAUGUUCACUCUUUGUUGGUGGAGGUGGAUAGAUGUGUACAUGGUUUGCUUUAAGCACGUUCAACAUUUUAUUUGAGUGGUCCUCAAAAUCUUGGUCUCUCAUCAAUGUAUGUGAUAUAUGUGGCCCCAUUGCUUGUGGUUUGUGUCCAAAGUAGGAAGACUAAGUGGUACCAUACAAUAUGAAUUCCUUGUUUGACCAAAUAAAGAAUAGCAUGUGGGUUCUAACGUGGGCAACUAUUAUGUGCAUUUUUUACUUUAUUAACAAGUCUCAUUGAUGAGAUGUGAACUAAAAAAACCGACCAUCGUACACUUGGGUAUUUUUCAUCUAAGUAGGUAGCGAGUGUCACUAAAUCAAAUAGUUAUGUGAACUUUGAGUGGCGUUAGAUCAAAUAGUUCACAUGAAAUUAUACUGUUUUUUCAGCAAUGUAAAAACUGAGUGUUGUAAACUCUGAUCUUUUUAGCAUAGUAGAUAUUAAGGGUCGUUAAACCUAUUAGUUAAAUGAAUUAUGGGUGUCGCUAUACCAAAUAGUUCAGAUAAAAUUAGAUUAUUUUCCAGCAAAGUAAAUAUUGGGUGUCACUGUACUAAAUAGUCAUGAGAAAAUAAGAAUUAUCGAAGAAAGUUGAGAUUUUACUAUAAAACAAAUUGUCAAUAUGGGGAGGAGCCUCACUACUUAUAAGCAUAUGGAAGGUCCCUCAUUUGUUCGAUGUGAGAUUUGUACUCUCAAUACGUCUCCUAAUGUGACAAAUUUUCAAGCCUAACACAUGGACAACGUUUGCAUGUUGGGUUUCACACAGGGAUAAAUCUGCUCUGAUACCAUAAAGAAAGUUGAGGUUCUACUGUAAAACCAAUUGGUAAUAUGGAAAGUUGUCUAAUUGCUUAUAAGCACACACAACCCCUCAUUUUCUCGAUGUGAGAUUUAUACUCUCAACACUAACAUCUUUUAUCUAUAACAAAUAUUGAAUGUCAUUAGACCAAAUAAUCAUGUUGUCAUGUUGAAUCGUGCAAUUUUAGAAAUGGAACAUGCAUAAUAUAGUUGAUAAAUCACACAAUGCUUUGACUUAAAGGGAAAUGAGUUUUGAUGCUAAUGGCUAAAUAUGUUGGAACAUUAACCACUACCACUCAACCACUCCUCUUAUCUUUAAUGGCAGCAUUAUCACUAGAUUUGGAUUGUGUUUCUCUUGUGGUUCACAUGAUUGACUUGUUCAAGUUGGACUAGAAAAUUAACACGCAACAAAAUCAAACAAGUCACAUUUUCUAGGUUUUAUUCCAUUUUUUGCUGCAAAAUAUUGUGUCCACAAGUUAGUAAACAUUGCUAAUUAAAAAAUGAGGUGAAGUGUCCAUUUAUGUUCAUGCUAAGGCUUUUUAGUGAAAUAAUUUAUAAGAUUGACAUAAUUCAUUUCUUUGAUCCUUGACAUUGAAAAUUGAUAGAAUGAUUCUUAAGUUUGUCCACCGUCAAUCACUUUGGUAGUCAUGUGAAAAUCUCGUUAAAUUGAGGCUAAUUUUUGUUCAAUCAAUCAACCCGUCCACUUGCUUUUCCAUUCGACAUAGAUUUUUUUAUGGACGAAGCAAAAUGAUUGAUUGUUAACAAACUUAGAAAUCACAUACAUUAAUUAUCAAUAUUAAGGACCAAAGUGAAGAGUUAUAAUAAAGAUCAUUUUGACUAAAAAAACCUAAUUCUAAUUAGGGCCUAAUUGUAAACAAUGACAGUGAUGCCAGAUUAAAUGUUGUGGAUUAGAUUAAACAAAUCACUUUGUUCAAACUUUUUUAAUAUCUCAUUUGGCUCAUGGAGUUGCUUUUUUUGUUUGACUCCAUUUAAAUAUGAGAAAAGCUGCCGAUUGGCAAUUAAAUCUAACGUUAAAGGUUUAUAAGCGAGAAAAUUACCACUUAAAAGUAACUCAUGAAGUGCACGGAAAGUAUGUGGUUUCCAUCUAACUUAUCUUAAAAACACGCGGUUUCCAACUUGAACACGAAAGCAUUCUGAAUAGUUUUUCUUGUCGACCAUAAUAAACAAAGAAUUGUUUUGGUUAGGCAAGGGGUGGCCUCUUUCGACUCUCCCUAAUACAACAAUUGUGUGGUAUAUUGUAUACAAAUACAACUAUAUGUAUGGACAGAUUCGUAACAUUAUUUUUUUAUAUGAUUUUGAUAUACGCUUUUGUGGAGUUUAUUCAUUUUAAUGAACAUAACAGUCUAUCUUUUAAAAUAUCAUUCGUAAAUCUUUUUUUUUUUAAAUUAGACAACUCUAAAACCAUUAAAACAUUCAUUUGUACUGAAGAAAAUAAGCGAAUAUAGUUCAACAAAUAAACUUUAACCUUUAGUCUAAUGUCAUAUGAUUUUAGAUUUUGGUAGACACAAUUUUUUAAGAAAAACCUAAACUAUAAGAUCAAUGAAUACAUUAUGAAAUGAGCUUUACAAAAGUAUUUUUAAACGUUUAUAAAUAAAAAAAUAGUGCAACGAGUCAGCUCAUAUAUAUAUUAAUAUGUUUUUUUAGUUGAGAUGAUAUGAUAUAUAGAAACAAAAAGUAAUAGUGGCAGACACUUGCAUUGCAAGGCACUCAGCAUCUUUAUUCAAACAAAGAGGUUUGAAAUUGUCACGUUGUUCACGACUAUGUCUUUUUUUCAACAUUAUUUAUUUAUUUAUCUUCCAAAAGUCAUACGAAUGCUGACUGCCGAGUGAAGAUAUUUAUAGGGUAUUUGCCAAUUUUUAUUAAUUGGGCAUCACAUGCAAAGUUCUUGGUGGUGGGUAGGUGGGGUCGCCUCUCUUUUUCGACUCAAUUUUAUUUUUAUUUUAUUGUGAUGUUUCCAUGAAUUUAAAUUUAUUUUUUAUUUUAUUGUGAUGGAUUUCAUGAAUUGAAGAAAUAUGUUCAAUAAUAUAGAGAGUCUGAUUUAUUUAUUUUAAAAAAGAAACAGUUGGUAGUUUUAUCAUGACAAUCUACCUUUUUAGGGGUAGAAAAACUCACAGAAGCAUUUCAUCCUCGUUAUAACCACUAUCUUGUAAGUCAACAGUACGAGGAAAGAACCCAAAACGUGUCACAUAGAAUAGGGACCUAAAAUUCAUCUCUAACUAAUAAGUCACCCCCUGGUACUUCACAUGAACAAUUAUUGAUAUAAAAUAGAUUUCACAUGCUUUUGUAGUUUUUUCUAAUACAAGCAAUAUUAUUGCUUCAAUUACAUAAGUAGAAGGGAAAGAGAAGUAAUUUAAAAAAAAAUAUUUAUUUUAAUCACCAUGACAAUUCAUCACUUGCUUUCGCAAUUUUUCUAACUCAUUUGCGUUCGGCAUUCGUAUUUAUCAAAAGGGAGAUGGAGAGGUUUUUGGGUGCCUUACAAAGUGGGUUUCAUCGCUCCUGCUUACGGGGCUUACUAAUUCUGAGCCCAAUAGUGCUAGGUAGGUGGUGUUGAGUUUGGAUUAUUUUGGCCUUUGCCCAUGAUAAAAAAUGAAUAAAUUAAACCUUGACAUAUUCUAACCCAUUAUUUUCAUUCCAACAGGAUCCUCUCCGGAUCCUUUUGGUAAGGAUCUUGAGGAUCCAUAAAUCGUAUUCAUUUAUCGUACAUUGUGCGGUUAAAUUUUAUCAGAUAUUAUUUGUAUUUAAUUUUAAAUAAAAAUAUUUAAAAGGAUUUCUGACCGCACGAUAUACGAUGAACGAAUAUGAUUCACAAAUUCCCGGAAUCCUCACAAAAAGGAUCCAUGUUCAUUUUCAUUUGCUACCAACCCUUAAAAGUAUGUUUACUUGGAAUGAGUGAAGCAAUAAACCCCAACAUGGUAUCAGAUCAACUAGAUCCCCUAAUUGAUUUGACUCGUAAAAUUUUCAAGUAUUGAAUUACGAGUUUUGAAGUGGAACUUACAUUGUUGAUUAUGUUCUGCAUGUGAAUUAGCACAAAAAAAGAUUGAGAUCCAGGAUAAUUCUAAUACUCAUCCGAAGGGCUUGAAUCAUCAACUUCUCAUUGAAGUGGACAAGAGUUGUAUAGAGCUACCAAAUCUCUCGUUUCUUGAGUUCAAAUCUUCUGCAUUUAUUUUGUGCGUGACCUCUCUGUGGCUUAUCAUUAAUUGACACGUGUCCAUAAACUUAACGAUCCUUAACUUUGUUGUCCAUAAACCUAACGAGUGUCGCUUUAUGGCUACACACAAAUUAGGUGCAGAAGAUUUGAACUCUCAAUGUCUCAGUGGUACCUAUAUUGGUGAAUUGAAUACUUUCUACGAAUUGAAGUCUAAUGGCAAUUGAAGUCACUACACUAUUUAAGGAGACCCCGAAUUAGGCCGGAUGAUAACUUGUUGGGCUUAAGUUGACUCUUGAGGAUUUAUGAUACAUCCUCCACCCAAUAGCAAACUUAUUGCUUUUGUGGCUCAAUCUAUGAAAUUGGUUGCUUUCUGGCCCAACAAGAAGGGACUAUUUUUGUUUUAUUGUUAUUUAAAAAAAUAUCAUUUUCUUGCAAUUUUUUACUUCGUUUAUAUUUCACAACCAAAAUAAUUUAUUUUCUUUGUUUAAAUGAUUCAUAUAACUUUUUACAACAAUAUUAUACUAUAAAAGGAGAUGAGGAUUAGAUCAGAUCAGGCCACACAAUAAGUCAAUCAUUAACUAAAUAUCGAACUUAAGAAUACAUCAUCCUCAUCCUUUUGAAUCCAACUUAAAGAGUUUUAUUUGUUAGUAAAGAGAAAUAUUACUAAUUUAUUAAGGGGAUAGUAAAUUUUUGAUUUAUUCUUAAAAAGUUUUAUUUAAAUUUUUUUAUAAGUAGUUGAUUUCUAUUAUAUGAUUUCGUCAUCCACAAGUUAGUUGAACAUAAAAAAUUAGCCUAACUACUUAUUUAUUUAGUUUUUAUAAAAAGGAGACCUACUUGCGGUUUUAUCAUGCCAAUCCAUUUUUUUGAGUGAUAAAAGACUCAUAAAAAUAUUUCAACUUCUCUGACCACCAUUAUUUGAUUCCUCGGCACCAGAAGUUUAACCUACGACUGUAUAAAUUAGGCAUUCAUAAUUAUGUUUCCAAUAUAAAUGACACAAUAAUCAAAUGGGAUAAAAUACCACAACAAAAA
rnacentral:lncRNA from 1 species